rnacentral:rRNA from 1 species
AUUGAACGCUGGCGGCAGGCUUAACACAUGCAAGUCGAGCGGAGAUGAGGUGCUUGCACCUUAUCUUAGCGGCGGACGGGUGAGUAAUGCUUAGGAAUCUGCCUAUUAGUGGGGGACAACAUUCCGAAAGGAAUGCUAAUACCGCAUACGUCCUACGGGAGAAAGCAGGGGAUCUUCGGACCUUGCGCUAAUAGAUGAGCCUAAGUCGGAUUAGCUAGUUGGUAGGGUAGCGGCCUACCAAGGCAACGAUCAGUAGCCGACCUGAGAGGGUGACCGGCCACACUGGGACUGAGACACGGCCCAGACUCCUACGGGAGGCAGCAGUGGGGAAUAUUGCGCAAUGGGCGAAAGCCUGACGCAGCGACGCCGCGUGGGUGAUGAAGGCCUUCGGGUCGUAAAACCCUGUCGGGUGGAACGAAUUCCGCCUUGCUAAUACCGAGGCGGUUUGACGGUACCACCGAAGGAAGCCCCGGCUAACUACGUGCCAGCAGCCGCGGUAACAC